CGUGAUUGGCUCAGACGCGUUUUGUUUAGAGCGCACGCGAACGCUUUCCUGCCACGCUUUUCGUACACACGACACUUGCUAAUAUUUGUUAUUAUAUUCUACUUAUGUCUAUUUACAAAUGACAUUCUCAGCAGAUUAGUGUUUUACGUUAUAAAUGGAUUCAAUAAAGGCGCACAUCAGAGCCUAUUUGAGGGGUAAUAUACACGUAUGAACAUGCAUGGACUUGUCUAAUCAUUCAGGCCGCGUCGACUUCACCUCGAGCAACAUGGACAGCAGGUUUCCAGAUCAGCAUUUCCCACAUUUUUAUUUGGACGGACCGCCUGAAAACAUGCCGAGGCACAGUCUUGGAGGCUGGGGUUCAUAUGAUCGAGUGUUUGAAAUAAGGGUUGGUCAGUGUGAUGCAGGACAGUCUGCCCAGCGUGAGUUUGUUUCUCAGCACACUGUGAAAGGAGAAGAAUGGGUACCAGUUAAACCAGCUGUAACCCCUUUAAUUCCACCAUGCAAAGAUGCCAAAGUCUUAUUUGGUCCUCCACCAGAUCCAAUGGAUUUUCCAGAGCACAUGCAGUAUUAUUACCAGCAUUACUGCAUGGAUGCUUUUUCCACAAUGGGAAAUCUACUAUGUGAUAAUUUCACAUUUAAAAAAAAAAAUACAAAGUGUAAGAAGAGUAUACUCUGGGCUAAGAAGUUCCUGAAAACCCUGAAUUAUAAAAGAUGCCAUGUUAGAAAUUACUGGCAGAAGGUCCGUCAGCUUCAUUAUCUGGUCAGUGAUGUUGUGAGUGACAUUCCUCCAUCUCUCCUCGCCGAGCACCUCCAUGAGGAACUGACGUCACAGAGGGAACAGCUGCAGUUCUGCUCUGAUCUGACAGGGGGUGCUGUAGGAUACAUGCCUUUAUAUGAGGCACAGGGCAGUGCUGAGAGCUGUCUGAUUUAUCCCAGUGGAGAUGCACUGGAGAAACUCAACUUCCACAGGGUGGUUCCUGAGUUCAAUGAUGACAAGCCUCCCAAUUUUCUCAUGGACUCCAGCCCUUUUGCCUUUGAGCUGAAAGGAACCAUCAAACAGCUCAGUUUGGGCAACAUGGAGGAUCAAGGUAAUGUGGGUGUGCGAUCGGAUUAUUUUUGUGGCUCAUGGGUGCUAGGUGGCAAGAUAAGGCCACGGCUACAGGAAGUAAUCCAGUCGAACGACCGUUACUCCUGCAUCACUGUCAGUCCACAUGUUCCAGAUGAGCUUGUUGUGGCCACUGAGUAUGGAGCUGCCUAUCUCUGGACUGUGAAAAAAGGAUUGCAGAAGUUCAGAGAAGAGGAUUCUAAUCUGUAUUUCAAUGCCAAGUCCCCAUGGCGAUGGUGUGAGUUCACAUGCCACCCGAGAGUAAUGGUGUAUGCUGACAGAACAGGGGCGGAGAUUACAGACGCAAGGAACCGUGAUUGUUAUCAAACACUAUUCCGGAUUGGAAAGACGGCAGCUUGUGUGAGGGGAGAGAGAGUGUUACUAGCCAAGUACCUGAGUGAAAGCCACGCCCAUCACCACCUCAUCACUUCCCAGUGGUCUGCUUACAUCAUGGACGAGCGCGUUCCUUGUGUGCCCGUGCUGAAAUGGGAUCAUAUGAUGGAAUCAGAGCCAGUGUUUGCCUGCAGUCUGCCGGCACUGUCCCAAAGCAAAAACUGCAAAGUGCUUCUUGGUUCUCAGAGGUCACAGGACAUCAUGUUACUGCAGUACACAGGUGGGAGGAUGCGUGCCUGUCAGGCUCGUGGUCCCAUUCAGAAGCUCUUUAGUCCUAGAGAGAGUCUGAGUCACCUAAAUCUUCUGCUACCCCACAAGAGACACCUUGCUGAGGAGAGACUGAACGUACCUGCUGCAGGUCUCACAGCUGUACAGAAUAAGGACUACCUAUCUGUUUUCCAGCUCACUGAGACUGGAGACCUCUUUUUCCAAACACUGAAACUACACACAGAUGAAACCACUACUAACAACAACCUCCCAGAACCAGCUUCAUCCUCUGUCAGUGUAGAACAUACAAAAGAACCUGGAUUGAGUGAGAACUUGCAGUCCAACACAGACAAUGACAACCAGGGUUACUCUGAGAGUGAGAUACGCCAAAGAGCGCUUAGUCAACUGGAAGUAAUAGACAAUGUUGAAAAUGGUCACUCACCUGCUUCUGAUACAAAUGAAGACAUUAGCAAGGAACCCAAUGGUACCUGCUCCAAAAGACAACCCAUCCAAAGGAAAGAUCAUGAUCUUCAGGUUGCUUGGAACAAGUGGCUUAAGCCAAUUUUUACAAAGGUUGCAGGCAAAAAACGACACCUCCAUCAUCAUCAAAUCAAAACCAGAGGUUUAAUAAAAUUGAAAAUGACCAAGACAGAUAAACUAAAUAAAGAUCGCCCGCAGAGUUUAAGGAGAGACCUUCAAGAGGUCAUGAAGAAAAAGCAGUUGCUCCUUCACGGGGCCACGCACCUGCCUCUCCUGAAUGUGACCCCUGUUCCUUACCCUGUAGAUCCCAAUGAGUGGCCAGAUGAUCUGAGCCAACGGUUGACAGCAUCGUGGGAUGGCGAGUGGAAGAGCUGGUGGGAGGAGAAACUGGGACUGAAUCGGGAGAAGAAAAUGGAGGCUCUUCGUAGAAAGCGUAGAAGAGAAAAAAAAGCCAGAGCUUGGAGUCGCACCUCGCUUUCUGGAAGCUUUACCUCAUCGGUUAGCUACCAGGAUGAUCUCUCUGGAUACUCAUCUGCACCUAGUCAGGGUUUCGAUUCGGAUGGAGAAUCGUUGGGGAACUCGCAAGCAAUGGAAGUGAUAGAUGGUACAUUGGAAACUGAGAUGCACAGAAAGAGCCCCGUUAUUAUGAGACAGUUUCUCAAAGAUCAGACCCUUGAGCAAGAACCGGUCGAAUCUGCCUCAAGAAGUCCUUGGAGAAGAUCUGGGCCUGAACAAGACUCUUCAUCAAAACAACCAACCCUAGGCAGCUCUAGUUCUUUGGACGUUGGUCUUUGUCCUGCAUCGGCCACCUUGACACAGAGACCAAAGAGCCAAUCAAAACUGCACAAUGAGGAUUAUCUUAAUUCUUUAUUUGGUUCCCAAGAGCCUACUCAAGAGCACGCCGAACAGGAGGGUGGAUUUUCUUUCUCCCAGGUACCUACAGCUUCCCAGCUCUCCUUAUCAUCUCGGAGAAUUUCUCAAGUCAGAGGCUCCGCACAGGCCCCCCAACCAAAGAAAAAGUCCCGUAUGGGCUUUUAAAAACCAGCACCCAAACAAGGAAUGCUGGCAAGGCAAGUGACCUACUUUUUGUGUGGUGUCGAAUGUUGGGACACUGUACAGAGGCGGGUUGUGUUGGAAGGAGGAACUUGAGCCAAUGUUUCUAUAGGUGCGCUCCUUACCUUUCGCUCUCGUCCCAGCCGCCCUCUGGAAUGGUGGGCAGCUCUGGGAUGCUACAGUAGCUGUUGUGCAGGUUUUGUGCUGUUCUCCGCGAGACUUUCCAGACCAGUUUCCUGUGGUC